rnacentral:rRNA from 1 species
UACGUAGGGUGCGAGCGUUAAUCGGAAUUACUGGGCGUAAAGCGUGCGCAGGCGGUUUUGUAAGCCAGAUGUGAAAUCCCCGGGCUUAACCUGGGAAUGGCAUUUGGGACUGCAAGGCUGGAGUACGGCAGAGGGGACUGGAAUUCCUGGUGUAGCAGUGAAAUGCGUAGAGAUCGAGGAGGAAUACCGAUGGCGAAGGCAGGUCUCUGGGCUGAUA